UACGUAGGGGGCUAGCGUUGUCCGGAAUCAUUGGGCGUAAAGAGCGUGUAGGCGGUCCGGUAAGUCCGCUGUGAAAGUCGGGGGCUCAACCCUCGAAUGCCGGUGGAUACUGUCGGGCUAGAGUGCGGAAGAGGCGAGUGGAAUUCCUGGUGUAGCGGUGAAAUGCGCAGAUAUCAGGAGGAACACCUAUUGCGAAGGCAGCUCGCUGGGACGUAACUGACGCUGAGAAGCGAAAGCAUGGGGAGCGAACAGG
rnacentral:rRNA from 1 species